rnacentral:SRP_RNA from 1 species
UCCGCUUGUUCCACAACUGCUGCAG